rnacentral:rRNA from 1 species
UACGUAGGGUGCAAGCGUUAAUCGGAAUUACUGGGCGUAAAGCGUGCGCAGGCGGUUAUGCAAGACAGAUGUGAAAUCCCCGGGCUUAACCUGGGAACCGCAUUUGUGACUGCAUAGCUGGAGUACGGCAGAGGGGGAUGGAAUUCCGCGUGUAGCAGUGAAAUGCGUAGAUAUGCGGAGGAACACCGAUGGCGAAGGCAGUCCCUGGGCCUGUACUGACGCUGAGGAGCGAAAGCGUGGGUAGCAAACGGG